rnacentral:rRNA from 1 species
AGAUCAAAUUGUUGGUCGUGCCUUGGUACGUACUGACAUUAUUGGUUUCUCCCUUCUGAAGAACCAUGAUGUCAUUAAUUUGGUGUCAUGGGGAAUCAGGACUGUUACUUUGAAAAAAUUAGAGUGUUUAAAGCAGGCUCGCGCUUGAAUACAUUAGCAUGGAAUAAUGAAAUAGGACGUUUAAUUCUAUUUUGUUGGUUUCUAGGAUUGACGUAAUGAUUAAUAGGGAUAGUUGGG